AUUGAACGCUGGCGGCAGGCCUAACACAUGCAAGUCGAGCGGAUGAAGGGAGCUUGCUCCUGGAUUCAGCGGCGGACGGGUGAGUAAUGCCUAGGAAUCUGCCUGGUAGUGGGGGAUAACGUCCGGAAACGGGCGCUAAUACCGCAUACGUCCUGAGGGAGAAAGUGGGGGAUCGUCGGACCUCACGCUAUCAGAUGAGCCUAGGUCGGAUUAGCUAGUUGGUGGGGUAAAGGCCUACCAAGGCGACGAUCCGUAACUGGUCUGAGAGGAUGAUCAGUCACACUGGAACUGAGACACGGUCCAGACUCCUACGGGAGGCAGCAGUGGGGAAUAUUGGACAAUGGGCGAAAGCCUGAUCCAGCCAUGCCGCGUGUGUGAAGAAGGUCUUCGGAUUGUAAAGCACUUUAAGUUGGGAGGAAGGGCAGUAAGUUAAUACCUUGCUGUUUUGACGUUAACAACAGAAGAAGCACCGGCUAACUUCGUG
rnacentral:rRNA from 1 species